GCCAAUUGGGCUGCAGUAGCAGGUUAUUCUGAUAUAAUAAUAUUUAAAGUUAAGCUUUCUUUGGUA
rnacentral:tRNA from 1 species